AAAAAGGCCCUUUUAAGGGCCACAAAUCUUUCAAAAAAAGAAUCUG
rnacentral:ncRNA from 1 species